CCUACGGGAGGCAGCAGUGAGGAAUAUUGGUCAAUGGUCGGGAGACUGAACCAGCCAAGCCGCGUGAGGGAUGAAGGUACAGAGUAUCGUAAACCUCUUUUGUCAGGGAACAAAGGCGGGGACGCGUCCCCGGAUGAGUGUACCUGAAGAAAAAGCAUCGGCUAACUCCGUGCCAGCAGCCGCGGUAAUACGGAGGAUGCGAGCGGUAUCCGGAUUUAUUGGGUUGAAAGGGUGCGCAGGCGGUCUGUUAAGUCAGCGGUAAAAGCACGGGGCUCAACCCCGGCCCGCCGUUGAUACUGGCAGUCUCGAGUUGGAGAGAAGUAUGCGGAAUGCGCGGUGUAGCGGUGAAAUGCAUAGAUAUCGCGCAGAACUCCGAUUGCGAAGGCAGCAUGCCGGCUCCACACUGACGCUGAGGCACGAAAGCGUGGGUAUCGAACAGGAUUAGAUACCCGAGUAGUC
rnacentral:rRNA from 1 species